CUCCUCUCAGGGUCACACCUGGAGAGUUUCCAGUACUCUACCAGUCUUGACUACAGGAGGGAGAGUCAGGCAGAGGCCUACCCAUUCCAUUCCUAGCUUGGGCAGUGUCUAGAGAGGGGAAGGCAAUCUGCUGCAAGU